rnacentral:rRNA from 1 species
AUUGAACGCUGGCGGCAUGCCUUACACAUGCAAGUCGAGCGGCAGCGCGGGGGCAACCCUGGCGGCGAGCGGCGAACGGGUGAGUAAUACAUCGGAACGUGUCCUGUCGUGGGGGAUAACCAGUCGAAAGAUUGGCUAAUACCGCAUGACCUCGUAAGAGAAAAGCGGGGGAUCGCAAGACCUCGCGCGAUUGGAGCGGCCGAUGUCGGAUUAGCUAGUUGGCGGGGUAAAAGCCCACCAAGGCGACGAUCCGUAGCCGGUUUGAGGGAACGACAAGCCACACUGGGACUGGGAGACGGCCCAGACUCCUACGGGAGGCGGCAGUGGGGAAUUUUGGACAAUGGGGGCAACCCUGAUCCAGCCAUGCCGCGUGUGUGAAGAAGGCCUUCGGGUUGUAAAGCACUUUCGGCCGGAACGAAAUCGCGCGGGUGAACAUCCCGCGUGGAUGACGGUACCGGAAGAAGAAGCACCGGCUAACUACGUGCCAGCAGCCGCCGUAA